UACGUAGGGGGCAAGCGUUGUCCGGAUUUAUUGGGCGUAAAGCGCGUGUAGGCGGCCAGGUAGGUCGGUUGUGAAAACUGGAGGCUCAACCUCCAGACGUCGACCGAAACCAUCUGGCUAGAGUCCGGAAGAGGAGAGUGGAAUUCCUGGUGUAGCGGUGAAAUGCGCAGAUAUCAGGAGGAACACCAAUAGCGAAGGCAGCUCGCUGGGACGUUACUGACACUGAGGCGCGAAAGCGUGGGGAGCGAACAGG
rnacentral:rRNA from 1 species